GCAAGUCGAGCGGAAGCGCGGGGCAACCUGGCGGCGAGCGGCGAACGGGGGAGUAAUGCAUCUGACAUGUCCUUGCCGUGGGGGAUAGCCCGGCGAAAGCCGGAUUAAUACCGCAUACGCACGAGAGGGGAAAGUGGGGGACCGCAAGGCCUCACGCGAUUGGGUUGGCCGAUGUCCGAUUAGCUAGUUGGCGGGGUAAGAGCCCACCAAGGCGAUGAUCGGUAGCUGGUCUGAGAGGAUGAUC
rnacentral:rRNA from 1 species